GUUUCUGGCAACUUUUACUUUGCAUAAAUUUGACUAUUAUCCCGAAAUUCCUAGUUUUGGCAUUUUACACAUAGAACAUGAGCGUGUAAUCAAUUUAGCCCUUGCAUGAGGUGGCAGGUGAUUUUUAUUUUCAAAACAAGUGAUUUAUGGGAUGGUUUUUGAUAUGUAAGCGUGGGGACAAAGUGCGAUUAAUGAUAUUUGUGGGGAGCAUCUAACGAAUUUAACAGUUCUUGGGAUUAAAUAUAGAGCAGCAUUUUGGGGACCCAGACUAAUGGAUUUCUUUAAAACUUUAUUGAAAAAGAGCACACGUACAGAAAAAUGCACAAAUCAUAAGCAUAUGGCUGGAUGGAUUUUUACGAAGGGAGCACAUCCAUGUAACCAGCCACCACUAUAUGAAUAGGUUUUAAUUGACAAAGGGAAAAAAGAAUUUAGCAGUAGUUCACUGAAGAAAAGACGUUACUAGCUGAUAGUGUGGAAUACACUUGGAGGUUGCUGUUGGUUCUUUUCAGCCGUUUCUAAAAUUUCUCUGGUAAUAAUUGCUGGUAUUAUUGAACACUUAAAAUAGGGCCUGGCACAUCUCAACAGUUUUGUGUCCAGUUGUUUAAUAUUCAGAAUUAUACUAUGAAAAAGUAUACUAUGAUUAUUCUUUAUCAUCUUUGUCUUACUGUUGUGGAAACUGGGGUGGGGGUGUUAAAAUACCCAGGAUCAUCCAGCAAGUGGUGGAGUGGGAUUUUGAACCCAAACCGGGUACCCCAGAGUUGAGGCAACUCCUGUAUUAUUAGACUUUCUUAAGCGCUUGCACUUUUUCUAGUAGGAACUUGGCUGUGUACUUUAAAAGUAUUUAAUUUGGGUAUUGUGAACAUAUAUUUUUAAUGAGGAUUAACAAAACUAACGUAGGAAGGGGAUUUUGAGACAAUUUCUGAAAAUAAGAGCAAGUUAAUUUUCUAUGAGGUUACUCCUUUAAUGGCCGAAUUCUCCAUAUGCAGACAUUGUCUUCCAUAUAGGUAGAGGCUUUUAUUAGGAUUCCCCAAAAUCAGUGUAAAUACACAGAUGUGAUAAGAAUAGCCAAGAAAUAAAAAACAGACUUCAAAACACUGACAUAACAAUUUUGAACAUCAAAUACUUAAGGGUAUUCAGGUUCUCCUUUGAGCACCAUGUACUUUUGAUUCUUUGUGCACUCCUGUUAAGUAAAUUAAAACCUUUAACAGCUUAAUUUACAUUAUUUUGGAUCUUUUUGAUCUACCUUACCAGCAGAACACAGCGGAGGUGUUUAGGACUCUAAGGUUAGAAACCUGAGUUUGAAUCCUGCCGCCUGCUUCUUAAUAGCUAAAUUAGGGCACAUUGGUCAGUCUCUAUUCCCAAGCUGUCUGAUCUGUAAGUGGAGGUGCUGGUGCUUCUGACUGCCUACUUUUGAGGAAAUGAAAUAAGAUCAUGCACUUUUAAAGUGCUGGCACAGAAGAAGUCCGCAAUAAGUGGUGACUGAUGCUGAUUUUCUCCCCCUUUGUAUUCAGAAAUAAUUAGACUGUAGUAACUGUGUUUCUCCAUUUGGAUUCCAGUGAAAACUGCUUAUUCAAGUCUUCUGAAAAUGUUAUCUGUGUUUUGUGUAACAAUUUUAAGGAUGUUAAAUGUGUAUGUUCUUAGCCCGGAUACUGCUUUUGAAAAGAUUUUUAUUUUUAAGUAAUCUCUACACCCAACGUGGAGCUCAGAUUUACAGCCCUGAGAUCAAGAGUCACAUGUUCCACCUACUGAGCCCGCCAGCCCCCCGCCAAUACUGCUUUUAUGUUAACACUUAAGAACUUAACAAAAAAUACUUUAAAUGA